rnacentral:rRNA from 1 species
UGGCGAACGGGUGAGUAACGCGUGAGGAACCUGCCUCAAAGAGGGGGACAACAGUUGGAAACGACUGCUAAUACCGCAUAAGCCCACGACCCGGCAUCGGGAAGAGGGAAAAGGAGCAAUCCGCUUUGAGAUGGCCUCGCGUCCGAUUAGCUAGUUGGUGAGGUAACGGCCCACCAAGGCGACGAUCGGUAGCCGGACUGAGGGGUUGAACGGCCACAUUGGGACUGAGACACGGCCCAG